UACGGAGGGUGCAAGCGUUAUCCGGAUUCACUGGGUUUAAAGGGUGCGUAGGUGGGUUGGUAAGUCAGUGGUGAAAUCUCCGUGCUUAACAUGGAAACUGCCAUUGAUACUACUGGUCUUGAAUUUUCCGGAGGUAAGCGGAAUAUGUCAUGUAGCGGUGAAAUGCUUAGAUGUGACAUAGAACACCUAUUGCGAAGGCAGCUUACUACGCAUAUAUUGACGCUGAGGCACGAAAGCGUGGGGAUCAAACAGG
rnacentral:rRNA from 1 species